AUGUUUCAACAUGGCCGUCGAACAGAGAACACAACCCUAUCUUUCUUCCUCACAAUGAAAACAAGUCGAGGACAUGAAUAAACUGAUAUAUAAAGAAAAAUAAUAUCGAUGGCAAAGAACACGAGCUUUCAAUGAGAAAUAUUUUGUAAAAUCACCAUGUUAGAGUGAAAUCAUCGAGUUUUUAAGUAAAGCUUUUUAUAUUCGCUCGAGUGCUCAAAACCGCGUUCCUUCMUAAGCCAUGAAACACUUCGAGCCAACGCAAAACAGAAAUUCWGGAUAAAAAGGUCACUACRGAUAAAAACAGAAACAUCUAGCAAYCUUACAUUAAAUUCUGAACAUAUAAAUAUUUCAAGACAUAAAGCUUAAUCCGUUUCUCAUAAGGGCUUCCCUUUAAAAACGAAGGACUAAAGAURUGUGAGAAAUCGACAACAAGAUUGAGAUCGACUUCAAAAUGGCGCCCAUUGCUCCAUCGUUUAGAGAUAGAAAAAACGAAGAUAGAGCAUCUAAAAAGGUCAUCUAAGUGGAUUAUUAAAUGUUGUGAGAUCAGCCCACAGUAGUAGGUUGCGAAUUUCAGCGGCUAAUAACAUUUCUAUAAGAGUAGCGACAACAAGGGAAGAAGUUUGCAGGGUCAGCGGAGAACACAUAAACUCACCGCUGACCUCGCUACACUCGAAAAACUUGCUUGGAGAUCAUCAACUCUUCAAAAAUGAGCUUAAAAUUAUACUGUUCAUCUAUCGUUGUUCUCAUUGAAACUUCCUAUAACAUUGAAAUGCUCUUCAAAAAGUCACUACUGCAUUAUCAGCUGAUCAACAUGCAAUUAUGUUUCAAAGAAAACUAAAAAACGCUGUAUUCCAACAAGGUUAAAUGAAAACAAACUAGCUUGGGCCAUGAUUUGGAGGUCCCGUGGCACUUGGGAAGUCUGUGGUACAACCAUUGCAUAGGUUAAUAUGGGUGUUAGCUUGUACAGUUGUAUUCAUCACACCUUGGGGGUGACUAAAUUGGAAAACGCGCGUCAUCACCCAAUUUCC